rnacentral:rRNA from 1 species
UACGUAGGAGGCGAGCGUUGUCCGGAGUUACUGGGCGUAAAGGGUGCGCAGGCGGCGUCACGCGUGGAUAGUUGAAAUCUCCUGGCUUACCUGGGAGGGUGGUAUCCAGACGGUGGCGCUUGAGGGUCGGAGAGGGGCGUGGAAUUCCGGGUGGAGCGGUGAAAUGCGUAGAGAUCCGGAGGAACACCGAUGGCGAAGGCAGCUCUCUGGGGCGGCCCUGACGCUGAGGCGCGAAAGCGUGGGGAGCGAACGGG